rnacentral:rRNA from 1 species
GCGUACGAGCUAUAGCCGUUGGGGUCUUUGAGACUUUAGUGGCGCAGCUAACGCGAUAAGCCGACCGCCUGGGGAGUACGGUCGCAAGACUAAAACUCAAAUGAAUUGACGGGGGCCCGCACAAGCGGUGGAGCAUGUGGUUUAAUUCGAUGCAACGCGAAGAACCUUACCUGGUCUUGACAUAGUAAGAACUUUCCAGAGAUGGAUUGGUGCCUUCGGGAACUUACAUACAGGUGCUGCAUGGCUGUCGUCAGCUCGUGUCGUGAGAUGUUGGGUUAAGUCCCGCAACGAGCGCAACCCUUUUCCUUAUUUGCCAGCGGGUUAAGCCGGGAACUUUAAGGAUACUGCCCGUGACAAACUGGAGGAAGGCGGGGACGACGUCAAGUCAUCAUGGCCCUUACGACCAGGGCUACACACGUGCUACAAUGGUCGGUACAAAGGGUUGCUACCUAGCGAUAGGAUGCUAAUCUCAAAAAGCCGAUCGUAGUCCGGAUUGGAGUCUGCAACUCGACCCCAUGAAGUCGGAGUCGCUAGUAAUCGCAGAUCAGCAACCCUGCGGUGAAUACCUUCCCGGGCCUUGUACCCACCCCCCGUCACGUCACGAAAGUUGGCACCCCCCGAAGCCCGUGGCCCACCCCUUGUGGGGGGACCGCCCCAACGUGGGGUUGGCCAUUGGGACAAACUCAU